CAUGCCUUUUCCCAACCUGGCGUCUGCUAGUCUGCUCAUCAAAAGAAGCAAUCCAAUACGGGGGAUCACUUGCUUCAGGAAUCCACCACCUCACCUGCCAUGCCUGGCAGGUGAUAUAAAUGAGGACAGCAGUUCAGGCUUUCCCCCUUGGCAACUGGCUUCAUCAGAGCGUGAGAGCUGAAAAGGCAGUAGAGAGAGAGUCAGCAAGCAAGAUGGAGGUCACCAUCCUUUGUAACCCAACCAUGGAAGUGACAUCCCAUCAUCUCACAAAGCAUGUACAAAAUGGUUGAGAAAUACCCGGAUCAAAACAAAGAGGCCGUCUCCUUUGCGUACGGGAAGCGCGCAACAAUAACUAAAAUGGUUGCCAUUAAUAUUUUUUGAGGACUGGCUGCACAGCCUGCCUCCAGUCCCGCGGCUCUGCCCCCCUGAGUCCUCAGAACAACUGUGAGGUGGGUGUCAGUGGAUAUCCAUUUCACAGAGAAGAAACUGAGGCUCCCGGAGAUCGUGAGACUUGCUAACAACCCAGCCAGAUGGGGCUGGAGCAGGAGCUGACCCAUGUUUAUUUUCACUCCAAUAUCCUCUGCCAGAGCAUUUCCCGAACUUUAUUCCUUCAUGUAUAAACUGUCACAACUGCUGCCAAACCCAGGCCCACUUAUUCUACUCUCACAUACAGACACAUGGUAUUACCCUCUGUCCCGACAGUUGAUGGCCCAGGCUCUGGACCGGGACAGGGCUCAAUCCUGAGCUGCUCACACACCAGAUCACCCUGCACAAGCUGCUGACCCCCUCUGAACUGUAAAGUGGGGUGCAUGGGCUCAACUUGCUGGGUGACAGAGACACCCGGUGAGAUUGUGGGACUAAAUCACAGGGCACAUUGUAAGUGCCCCAUGAAUAUUUUACUGAAGGGACCCUCAAGGAACGGGAUCUGUCUUUACCAACUCUUCUCAACGCUGGAUCCAUGGUUAGCACAUUUCCAACAACAUCAUCAAUAUGAAGGAAUUCCUUAGUACUUUCCAUGACCUCCCCUAAAUUUGCAAUUAAGUAUUUGUUAAA